rnacentral:rRNA from 1 species
CCAGACUCCUACGGGAGGCAGCAGUGGGGAAUAUUGGAUAAUGGGGGGAACCCUGAUCCAGCGACGCCGCGUGAGUGAAGAAGUAUUUCGGUAUGUAAAGCUCUAUCAGCAGGGAAGAAAGAAAUGACGGUACCUGACUAAGAAGCCCCGGCUAACUACGUGCCAGCAGCCGCGGUAAUACGUAGGGGGCAAGCGUUAUCCGGAUUUACUGGGUGUAAAGGGAGCGUAGACGGCGAUGCAAGUCUGAAGUGAAAGGCGGGGGCCCAACCCCCGGACUGCUUUGGAAACUGUAUAACUGGAGUGCAGGAGAGGUAAGUGGAAUUCCUAGUGUAGCGGUGAAAUGCGUAGAUAUUAGGAGGAACACCAGUGGCGAAGGCGGCUUACUGGACUGUAACUGACGUUGAGGCUCGAAAGCGUGGGGAGCAAACAGGAUUAGAUACCCCAGUAGAG